GAGAAAGAACUAACAAGGAUUCCCCUAGUAACUGCGAGUGAAGCGGGAAGAGCUCAAAUUUAAAAUCUGGCGGUCUUUGGCCGUCCGAGUUGUAAUUUAGAGAAGCGUUUUCCGCGCYGGACCGUGCACAAGUCUCCUGGAAYGGAGCGUCAUAGAGGGUGAGAAUCCCGUCUUUGGCACGGACCCCCGGGGCUUCUGUGAUGCGCUCUCGAAGAGUCGAGUUGUUUGGGAAUGCAGCUCAAAAUGGGUGGUGAACUCCAUCUAAAGCUAAAUAUUGGCGAGAGACCGAUAGCGAACAAGUACCGUGAGGGAAAGAUGAAAAGCACUUUGGAAAGAGAGUGAAACAGUACGUGAAAUUGUUGAAAGGGAAACGCUUGGAGUCAGUCGCGUCGACCGAGACUCAGCCUCGCCUCGGCUUGGUGUACUUCUCGACCGACGGGCCAGCAUCAAUUUUGUCUCUCGGAUAAUGGCAAGGGAAAGGUGGCACCCUUUCGGGGGUGUGUUAUAGUCCCUUGUCGAAUGCGAGGGGCGGGAUUGAGGAACUCAGCACGCCAGCCCACUCCGGGGUGGUCGGGGCUUUCGGGCCCACGUUUACGUGCUUAGGAUGCUGGCGUAAUGGCUCCAAACGACCCGUCUUGAAACACGGACCAAGGAGUCUAACAUGCCUGCGAGUGUUUGGGUGGAAAACCCAUGCGCGAAAUGAAAGUGAAAGUCGGGACCUCUGUCGUGGAGGGCACCGACGCCCGGACCAGACCUUCUGUGACGGAUCUGCGGUAGAGCAUGCAUGUUGGGACCCGAAAGAUGGUGAACUAUGCCUGAAUAGGGUGAAGCCAGAGGAAACUCUGGUGGAGGCUCGUAGCGAUUCUGACGUGCAAAUCGAUCGUCAAAUUUGGGUAUAGGGGCGAAAGACUAAUCGAACAUC
rnacentral:rRNA from 1 species